ACUUGAAUAGCUUAUUUAGAGCGCAAUAUUGAAGAUGUUGAGGAAAUUAUUUAAUUUUUAGGUA
rnacentral:tRNA from 1 species